GGCCUGUUGAAAAUAAUUUUAGGUCUGACCUGCCCAAUGAGUGAUUUAAUGGCUGCGGUAUAUUGACCGUACAAAGGUAGCAUAAUCAUUAGUUUUUUAAUUGAAAGCUUGUAUGAAAGGUUUGAUGAGAAAAAUUCUGUCUCUGUUGAAAUUUAUUAGAAUUUUAUUUUUAAGUGAAAAAGCUUAAAUAUAUAUAGAAGACGAGAAGACCCUAUAGAGUUUUAUAUUUAUAUAAAUGAUAAUGUUUAAGGUGAGAGAAAUUUAUUUUUUAUAAGAGUAUUUUGUUGGGGUGAUAGAAAAAUUAAUUAAACUUUUUAAUAUUAGUACACUAAUUUGUGAAUUUAUGAUCCUAGGUUUAGAUUAAAAGAUUAAAUUACCUUAGGGAUAACAGCGUAAUUUUUUCUAGAGUUCUUAUCGAAAGGAAAGAUUGCGACCUCGAUGUUGGAUUAAAAUGAAUUACUGGUGCAGUAGCUAGAAAAUUAGGUCUGUUCGACCUUUAAAAUUUUACAUGAUCUGAGUUUAAACCGGUGUGAG
rnacentral:rRNA from 1 species